rnacentral:rRNA from 1 species
GACGAACGCUGGCGGCGUGCUUAACACAUGCAAGUCGAACGGAAAGGCCCUGCUUUUGUGGGGCGCUCGAGUGGCGAACGGGUGUGUAACACGCGUGUAUACCGUACUUGUCUUUGUGAUAACUUCUGGAAACUCGGGCGAUUACCCCAGAGGAGCUCCUGCUGCAUGGUGGGGGUUGGUAAGUUUCGGCGGUUGGGGAUCGACUCGCGGCUUAUCAGCUUGUUGGUGGGGUAGUGGCUUACCAAGGCUUUGACGGGUAGCCGGCCUGAGAGGGUGACCGGCCACAUUGGGACUGAGAUACGGCCCAGACUCCUACGGGAGGCAGCAGUGGGGAAUAUUGCACAAUGGGCGGAAGCCUGAUGCAGCAACGCCGCGUGCGGGAUGACGGCCUUCGGGUUGUAAACCGCUUUCGCCUGUGACGAAGCGUGAGUGACGGUAAUGGGUAAAGAAGCACCGGCUAACUACGUG